rnacentral:lncRNA from 10 species
AGAGCUGUACUUCCUUAUCGCCCGGUACCUAUCGGCGGGCCCGUGUCGGAGAGCGGCCCAGGUGCUGGUGCAGGAGCUGGAGCAGUACCAGUUGUUGCCGAAGAGAUUGGACUGGGAGGGCAACGAGCACAACAGGAGCUACGAGGAGUUGGUGAGCAUUGGGCACGUUUGCUCCCCGGGUUUUCCGUGCACCGCCCCCCGCCCCCGCCCCUUCCCCUCGCGGGGACCCCGGCCCGUGGGGUGCAAAGUGUGACCCGCACUGGGGGGCGGCCCGGGGAUAGCUGCGUUCCCGGCUGAAGAUUUUGUUUUGUUUUUGAGGCGGCCAGGUUUGUUUUGGCAGGAAACAGUCAUUGGGGGCGGCGCGGGGCGGAGCGGUGGGGGCGACUCGCGGAGGUCCUGCGGCAGGGGUGGGGCUCCAGGUGCGGCCGC